GUCCGGUCCCAGGUGAGGGUUGCGGUGGCCUCCGGCAGCCAUUCCCAAGAUGGCGGCAUGGCGGGAAGGUCGAGGAGCCCGCCGCCUUCUCUUCCGGCGCGGCCGGAAGUGACGUCACGGCGCCGGUCGCGCACGGCCGGCGCGCUGGAUGUGACCUCAUCUGCCGGCGACGGGCAAAACCCGGAAGUGGGUGCCCGCAAUGGAAAUAGGAGGCCGGGCGCCAGGAGAUGGCAGGCGCCGGCUGAAGAGACCGGAAAUAGGGGUGCUGUGACCCGGACAGCAGCCCCAAGGAGAUGGGAGUCCCCAGGACCGGGCAGUUCAAGGGGUGCUGCGGAUCAGGCGGCAGCCCCGGCGGUCGGGAGGCCGUGUCGGUUGCAG